rnacentral:pre_miRNA from 1 species
CUACUACUCCCUCCGUCCGAAAAUACUUGUCAUUGAAAUGGAUGUAUCUAGAGGUAUUUUAGUUCUAGACACAUCCAUUUUGAUGACAAGUAAUUCCGGACGGAGGGAGUAUUAU